rnacentral:rRNA from 1 species
GUGGUACCGUCAGUCCCAGACAUUAUUGGUGUCNGGUUUUUCUUCCCACUCGACAGAGCUUUACGACCCGAAAGCCUUCAUCACUCACGCGGCGUUGCUGCGUCAGGGUUUCCCCAUUGCGCAAAUUCCUCAC